AAGAUCAUACUUCACAGGAUCAUUUCUGUAGUAGAUCUUCGCAUACUCUCUACUCAAAAGUAGAGUUGUCGCAACCAUGAGGAUGAGACACAGUCUCGAUUCCUGAGCGUGAGAUACGAUCUCGAUUUGCCACUUUGUGGGUGAAUCGGUGAUCCACGAUGAUCGUUCAACCCGUUAGUUUUACUAGUGGUGUAUGGAAUUGAGGCAGUCUGAGUGGU